rnacentral:rRNA from 1 species
AGAGUUUGAUCCUGGCUCAGAACGAACGCUGGCGGCGUGCUUAACACAUGCAAGUCGAACGCGAACGUCUUCUUCGGAAGGCUAGUAGAGUGGCGCACGGGUGAGUAACGCGUAAGUAAUCUACCCCUGUAUUUGGGAUAACCCACCGAAAGGUGUGCUAAUAUCGGAUACGUCUAAUUUAAUAUCUUUUUUUUAGAGAAAGGUGGCCUCUUCAUGAAAGCUACUGUACAGGGAGGAGCUUGCGUACCAUUAGCUAGUUGGUAGGGUAAUGGCCUACCAAGGCAACGAUGGUUAGCGGGUCUGAGAGGAUGAUCCGCCACACUGGAACUGAAACACGGUCCAGACUCCUACGGGAGGCAGCAGUGAGGAAUUUUGCGCAAUGGGCGAAAGCCUGACGCAGCAAUGCCGCGUGAAGGAUGAAGGCCUUCGGGUUGUAAAAUCCUGUCAGAUGGGAAGAAGUGCUAUAUGAUUAAUACUUAUAUAGUUUGACGGUACCAUCAAAGGAAGCACCGGCUAACUCCGUGCCAGCAGCCGCGGUAAU